rnacentral:miRNA from 1 species
UCCGUUAUAUAAAGAAUAAUACAUGGGUGCGCGGAAAUACCAAAUUUAUUUCGAGUGUUGAGCAUGAUAUCUCCGCAAGAGUGAGCUCAGCGAACGAGUCGAGUGAGAUAUAUCAUGUUCAACACAAGAAAUAAAUGUGGUAUUUCCAAGCAUCCAUAUACUUUUGGGUUUAUUAUAUAAAGGA